UUAUGUGAUCGUCUCUCGCAUAUCAAUAAGCGGAGGAAAAGAAACUAACAAGGAUUCCCCUAGUAACGGCGAGUGAAGCGGGAAGAGCUCAAAUUUGAAAUCUUAAAGGGUUUCCCUUUACGAAUUGUAGUUUAAAGAAGUGUUUUCUGUUGAGGUUUUGGUAAAAGUUCUUUGGAAUAGGACAUCAUAGAGGGUGAGAAUCCCGUAUUUGACCUUUACUUUCAACUUUGUGAUACACUUUCAAAGAGUCGGAUUGUUUGGGAAUGCAGUCCAAAAUGGGUGGUAAAUUUCAUCUAAAGCUAAAUAUUGGCGAGAGACCGAUAGCGAACAAGUACCGUGAGGGGAAGAUGAAAAGAACUUGAAAAGAGAGUUAAACAGUACGUGAAAUUGUCAAAAGGGAAGCGUUUGACACCAGUGUUGUUUUUCUGAAAAUCAAUUAAAGAACUGUUUAUGCUAAGCUGUUUAGACUUUAUCAGCUAACUGUUUAGUUUUGAGCUUUUCUUUAAUGCACUUUUCAGUUAACAAGUCAACAUCAAUCUCUUUUGCUGUAAAAAAGCUUGAGGAAGGUGGCUUGAGAUUCGUCUUAAGUGUUUAUAGCCUCUUGCCUAUGCAGUCGGAGAGAUUGAGGUCUGCAGCGUAGAUCCUUCGGGGCUAAAUGCAUUUGUGCUAAGUUAUAGCAUUUUAUAGACAACUUGUUGACUAUGAUUUGUCUUGUAGCUUACUCGCUUAUGUUAUUUUACCUACGCUUAGGAUGUUGAUAUCGCGCUCUCACUG
rnacentral:rRNA from 1 species